rnacentral:rRNA from 1 species
GGGAAUAUUGGACAAUGGGGGCAACCCUGAUCCAGCCAUGCCGCGUGUGUGAAGAAGGCCUUUUGGUUGUAAAGCACUUUAAGCAGGGAGGAGAGGCUAAUGGUUAAUACCCAUUAGAUUAGACGUUACCUGCAGAAUAAGCACCGGCUAACUCUGUGCCAGCAGCCGCGGUAAUACAGAGGGUGCGAGCGUUAAUCGGAAUUACUGGGCGUAAAGCGAGUGUAGGUGGCUCAUUAAGUCACAUGUGAAAUCCCCGGGCUUAACCUGGGAACUGCAUGUGAUACUGGUGGUGCUAGAAUAUGUGAGAGGGAAGUAGAAUUCCAGGUGUAGCGGUGAAAUGCGUAGAGAUCUGGAGGAAUACCGAUGGCGAAGGCAGCUUCCUGGCAUAAUAUUGACACUGAGAUUCGAAAGCGUGGGAAGCAAACAGG